rnacentral:rRNA from 1 species
CCUACGGGCGGCAGCAGUGAGGAAUAUUGGUCAAUGGGCGCGAGCCUGAACCAGCCAAGUAGCGUGAAGGAUGACUGCCCUACGGGUUGUAAACUUCUUUUAUAAAGGAAUAAAGUGAGGCACGUGUGCCUUUUUGUAUGUACUUUAUGAAUAAGGAUCGGCUAACUCCGUGCCAGCAGCCGCGGUACUACGGAGGAUCCGAGCGUUGUCCGGAUUUGAUGGGUUUAAAGGGAGCGUAGAUGGGUUGUUAAGUCAGUUGUGAAAGUUUGCGGCUCAACCAUAAAAUUGCAUUUGAUACUGGCAGUCUUGAGUACAGUUGAGGUAGGCGGAAUUCGAGGUGUAGCGGUGAAAUGCUUAGAUAUCACGAAGAACUCCGAUUGCGAAGGCAGCUUACUAAACUGCCACUGACAUUGAUGCGCGAAAGUGUGGGUAUCAAACAGGAUUAGAUACCCGGGUAGUC